GUGCAGAGUCGCUGUAAUGAUGCUCGGGAAGUUCUGGAGAGAAAGGAUACGAUACCAGUGAUUAAUGCCAAAACCCUGUUGCUUGUGGAGACGGUAAUGUUUGACUUUCUUGUACAGCUGCAGGUGCUCCCACAAUGUGGUUGGAUUCCACCAUCUGCCGAGCUGGGAUUCGAAC